CCUACGGGUGGCAGCAGUGGGGAAUAUUGGGCAAUGGAGGCAACGCUUACCCAGCAAUGCCGCGUGAAUGAAGAAGGUCUUCGGAUUGUAAAGUUCUUUUGUUGGGGACGAAAAAAAUGACGGUACCCCAAGAAGAAGCCCCGGCUAACUAAGUGCCAGCAGCCGUGGUAAUACGUAGGGGGCAAGCGUUGGUCGGAAUGACUGGGCGUAAAGGGUGUGGAGGGUGUGUAGGAAGUUAGAAGUGAAAUACCUAGGGAUUAACUAAGGUGCUGCUAUUAAAACUGCUAUACUUGAGUGCAGGAGAGGAAAGUGGAAUUCCUAGUGUAGCGGUGAAAUGCGUAGAUAUCAGGAGGAACACCAAUGGCGAAGGCGACUUUCUAGACUGUAACUGACGCUGAUGCACGAAAGCGUGGGGAGCAAACAGGAUUAGAUACCCCUGUAGUC
rnacentral:rRNA from 1 species